rnacentral:rRNA from 1 species
AAACCAGCACCUCAAGUGGUCAGGAUGAUUAUUGGGCCUAAAGCAUCCGUAGCUUGCUUUGUAAGUUUUCGGUUAAAUCUGUACGCUCAACGUACAGGCCGCCGGGAAUACUGCAGGGCUCGGGAGUGGGAGAGGUAGACGGUACUCGGGAGGAAGUGGUAAAAUGCUUUGAUCUCUCGAUGACCACCUGUGGCGAAGGCGGUCUACCAGAACACGUCCGACGGUGAGGGAUGAAAGCUGGGGGAGCAAACCGGAUUAGAAACCCCAGUAGUCC